rnacentral:misc_RNA from 1 species
UUAAGUUCAGCGGGUAUUCCUACCCGAUCCGAGGUCAACCUAAUCGAAUUCCGAUUGAAAUUCAUGGGUUCUAACGGCGUGGUCCGCCCCCAUCGCUAGCGAGAACUGUGUCGAAACGCUAAGUCGGGCGACGGCCAGCCGGUGAAAUUGGGGCGCGGGAGUGUCCCGGCGCCCAAUACCAAGCCAGGCUUGAUUGGAUU